rnacentral:rRNA from 1 species
GACGUAGGGCGCGAGCGUUGUCCGGAAUUAUUGGGCGUAAAGAGCUCGUAGGCGGUGUGUCACGUCGGCCGUGAAAACCUGCAGCUUAACUGUGGGCGUGCGGUCGAUACGGGCAUCACUGGAGUUCGGCAGGGGAGACUGGAAUUCCUGGUGUAGCGGUGAAAUGCGCAGAUAUCAGGAGGAACACCGGUGGCGAAGGCGGGUCUCUGGGCAAUAACUGACGCUGGAGGAGCGAAAGCGUGGGGAGCGAACAGG